rnacentral:rRNA from 1 species
GACGAACGCUGGCGGCGUGCUUAACACAUGCAAGUCGAACGGAAAGGCCCUGCUUGCAGGGUACUCGAGUGGCGAACGGGUGAGUAACACGUGGGUGAUCUGCCCUGCACUUCGGGAUAAGCCUGGGAAACUGGGUCUAAUACCGGAUAGGAGCCAUUUUUAGUGUGUUGGUUGGAAAGUUUUUUCGGUGUAGGAUGAGCUCGCGGCCUAUCAGCUUGUUGGUGGGGUAAUGGCCUACCAAGGCGGCGACGGGUAGCCGGCCUGAGAGGGUGGACGGCCACAUUGGGACUGAGAUACGGCCCAGACUCCUACGGGAGGCAGCAGUGGGGAAUAUUGCACAAUGGGCGCAAGCCUGAUGCAGCGACGCCGCGUGGGGGAUGACGGCCUUCGGGUUGUAAACUCCUUUCGCUAGGGACGAAGCUUUUUGCGACGGUACCUAGAUAAGAAGCACCGGCUAACUACGUG